UGCUAACGACAUACCAAUUAACCACACCUGUCUGCCAGCAAACACUCCUGCUCCCUGUAUUUAAAAAUACAAGAAGAAACUGGUUCUCUUUACAACUUUUUGUCAUCUGAUGUAUAAAUAACAUGUUAGGCUGAAAAAGGAUGCUCUGUCUUAGUGGAACUAUAUAUAUAGAUAUAGAUAUGCACGCUUUGCUGCCUUUACAUCCAGUACAGAAGCCAUUACGCAGCAGCACAUA
rnacentral:lncRNA from 1 species